UAUAAAAACCACACCAUAGGCGUAUAUACAAUCCUCCUGCCUUCCUCCAUUAACCAUCUUCGCCACCACCGUCACUAUUUUCAGCGCCACCACCAUCACUGCUUAAUGAAUAGGUUACGAAUCAAAUAUGGUUUUUGUUCUCAGAUAGGGACGAGAUAAAAAGGUUAGAUUUGAAUAAUGGGUAUGGAUGGAUUCGGAAAUGAAGUUUUCAUAAAAAAGCAUCAUACACUGAAAAGCUAAAGCAGCCAGCGUUAGGUUAAAGUGUCAAAUAUUAAUGAUUGGUGACUGCUGAUAGAGGCCAGCUUCCUUUCUCUGAUGACCUUUGGGACAUUUUUAGCACAAACAAUGUCAUCAGUAUCCUUUACAACAGGGUGAACAGAUGUUAUCAACUGCAUGACCAGAUGAUUCAGCCUCAUGUUAUCAACUUGCUAGUGAAUUCCACUAUGUGUAGAAAAUGGAAACUUAAGUACAGAAGUAUGAGGGAGCAGCAUUUCUGUCAUCAAAAGCAUUUAAGUAAACAAAGUUCUGUUGUUGUAUGAAGGAAGCAUCCUUCGUCAUUAUGCCCCUUAAACUGCAACCUUAGAAAAAGUUGGGAAUGAUCAUGCUGUGAGCUUCCAAGACUUUUUUCAAGCAAAUUCUGUGCAUGAACCACGUUUUGUUGAAGGAAUGAUGUAACAGGUGAAUAGGAAAACACUCCUCCCCAUUUCAUCCUAUAAAUUAUGUAUCCCUUUUCAAGUGUAAUAUAUUUUCUUUCCUAGCAAAAAAAGAAAAAGAAAAAACAUGUUUCGUUGAAGAAUUCAGGAGACGACUGCUGGAAAAUGUAUCCAAUGAGUUAGAGAGUAAUCUUAGACUGAUGAAUACUAUACCAUGUCAAUGAACUAGUUUUUUACUUUGC